rfam:Candidatus Kaiserbacteria bacterium RIFCSPHIGHO2_01_FTLL_46_22 rifcsphigho2_01_scaffold_6416, whole genome shotgun sequence.
GACCGGUUAGCUCAGCUGGUAGAGCGCAGCAUUGACAUUGCUGAGGCCACAAGUUCAAGUCUUGUACCGGUCA